CUUUGCAAGCAGGAUGUCAGCGGUUCGAGUCCGCUAACCUCCA
rnacentral:tRNA from 1 species